rnacentral:rRNA from 1 species
GCAGCAGCCGCGGGAAUACGAAGGGUGCAAGCGUUACUCGGAAUUACUGGGCGUAAGGCGUGCGUAGGUGGUGGUUUAAGUCCGUUGUGAAAGCCCUGGGCUCAACCUGGGAAUUGCAGUGGAUACUGGAUCACUAGAGUGUGGUAGAGGAUAGUGGAAUUUCCGGUGUAGCAGUGAAAUGCGUAGAGAUCGGAAGGAACAUCUGUGGCGAAGGCGACUAUCUGGGCCAACACUGACACUGAGGCACGAAAGCGUGGGGAGCAAACAGGAUUAGAUACCCCAGUAGUCCCUGUCUCUUAUAC